rnacentral:ncRNA from 2 species
UACGUAGGGUGCGAGCGUUAAUCGGAAUUACUGGGCGUAAAGCGUGCGCAGGCGGUUUUGUAAGCCAGAUGUGAAAUCCCCGGGCUCAACCUGGGAAUGGCAUUUGGGACUGCAAGGCUGGAGUGUGGCAGAGGGGACUAGAAUUCCUGGUGUAGCAGUGAAAUGCGUAGAUAUCAGGAGGAAUACCGAUGGCGAAGGCAGGUCCCUGGGCUAACACUGACGCUCAUGCACGAAAGCGUGGGGAGCAAACAGG